rnacentral:rRNA from 1 species
GGUUAAGCGACUAAGCGUACACGGUGGAUGCCCUGGCAGUCAGAGGCGAUGAAGGACGUGCUAAUCUGCGAUAAGCGCCGGUAAGGUGAUAUGAACCGUUAUAACCGGCGAUUUCCGAAUGGGGAAACCCAGUGUGAUUCGUCACACUAUCAUUACGUGAAUACAUAGCGUAAUGAAGCGAACCGGGGGAACUGAAACAUCUAAGUACCCCGAGGAAAAGAAAUCAACCGAGAUUCCCCCAGUAGCGGCGAGCGAACGGGGAGGAGCCCAGAGCCUGAAUCAGCAUGUGUGUUAGUGGAAGCGUCUGGAAAGGCGCGCGAUACAGGGUGACAGCCCCGUACACAAAAGCGCAUGUGCUGUGAGCUCGAUGAGUAGGGCGGGACACGUGGUAUCCUGUCUGAAUAUGGGGGGACCAUCCUCCAAGGCUAAAUACUCCUGACUGACCGAUAGUGAACCAGUACCGUGAGGGAAAGGCGAAAAGAACCCCGGCGAGGGGAGUGAAAAAGAACCUGAAACCGUGUACGUACAAGCAGUGGGAGC